rnacentral:rRNA from 1 species
AUUGAACGCUGGCGGCAGGCCUAACACAUGCAAGUCGAACGGUAACAGGAAGAAGCUUGCUUCUUUGCUGACGAGUGGCGGACGGGUGAGUAAUGUCUGGGAAACUGCCUGAUGGAGGGGGAUAACUACUGGAAACGGUAGCUAAUACCGCAUAACGUCGCAAGACCAAAGAGGGGGACCUUCGGGCCUCUUGCCAUCGGAUGUGCCCAGAUGGUAUUAGCUAGUAGGUGGGGUAACGGCUCACCUAGGCGACGAUCCCUAGCUGGUCUGAGAGGAUGACCAGCCACACUGGAACUGAGACACGGUCCAGACUCCUACGGGAGGCAGCAGUGGGGAAUAUUGCACAAUGGGCGCAAGCCUGAUGCAGCCAUGCCGCGUGUAUGAAGAAGGCCCUCGGGUUGUAAAGUACUUUCAGCGGGGAGGAAGGGAGUAAAGUUAAUACCUUUGCUCAUUGACGUUACCCGCAGAAGAAGCACCGGCUAACUCCGUG